rnacentral:misc_RNA from 1 species
CUUUUUCAUGUAUGGUAUAUCAUUGCAAAUAGUCGGAGCAGCGUGGAACGAAAUGCCAGAAUUGGCUGGUAGUCGUACGCCACUGCGACAGCAUUUGAUUUUGGGGUAGCAUUCGCCCGAUUGCGUUGGAUACAGAGUUUUGGCCGAAUGUCGUUUUGAAAUAAUUGCAUUAUUUUUAAAAUGCUUUUUUCGUUAUCCAUAAUGAUACUAUGAAAACAAAUCUGAACGUUUUACAAAAUAAAUUUUGUUAUUAUAACAAAAUAUUACUGUGCUUUAGUUUUGUAAAAUAUUACUGUGCUUUAGUUUUGUUUAAAAGUUAUGCUGAUAUGCAAAAGAUGCUUAUUUAAUAAAAAACACGGUUGGUAAAAAAGGAAAGUUUUUAUAAGUUUUUUGGGGUCUUAAAUGACAUCCAAUGGAUGUUUAUCUGUGACAUGGUUUCUUGCCAAUGUGAGCAAAAGAAUGUUUCAUUGUACUGUUAACGAUGAGGCAUGUUUGAUCACAUUAAAUGAAGAUAUUGAUUCAGAUAAGAAAGUUAUGAAUGUACUGAGCAGAAAAUUAGCAUCCAAAGGUGACUCAAAAAUUAGGAAGAUUGUUAGUAAUAUGAUUCCAAUGGUUAUUGGUACCAAUAUAAAAAAGACAAUUGAUUGGUCAGGAGUAAACAAUAAGCUUGCUUCAAAAGCAAUGCCAUUAAAAUUUUUGGUUUAGCAAUUUAAAACUUUCUCCUCGCGAGCAUGAGAGUUUUCCGGGGAUCGAAAUGAUGGACGAAAAGCUCAAGAGGAACGUUCUUUUAAUAAAAAGUUAUUAUCAUAAAUAAUAAUUUGAACUAUUUAUAACAUUUUUUUGUUUAUAAUUUUUAACACAUUUUUGGUUAACAAAAAAUAUUCAUUUUUUUUUGUCGAUAUAAGUUGGAAUAUAUUUCGAUAAGUACUUAUUUGUUUAAACUAUGUGGGAUAACACAUUUGGACAGAAACAGAUAAUAACGGCGUGCUGGUGUAUGAAACUAUAACAACGUGCUGUUGAAUUAUUAAAAGUUAAAGCUUUAGUGCUGACGCACGACCGAAAGAAUUUUGGAAAAGGAUCUUGAAUCAGUACUGUGAAUAAAUAAUGGACCAGUGCUGGCAAGCGAUCGCAGGCCAGUGCUGGCAACGAUCACAGACCAGUGCUGACGAACGAUUGCGGGCCAAUAUUAGCCCAUGGCUAACGGGCCAGUGCUGGCCUAAUGGCCGUUUCAAUGCAGACAUGUGAUCGACGGCCGUCAUCGCGCCGUAGUCGCUGGUGGAGGGCUGUCUGGGUGUUUGCGAAAAGCUACUUGAUAUUAAAAUUCAAUUCAAAUUACAUGGUGUUGAAUUUCAAUUCAAGCUAAUGGAUAUUAAAUUUUAAAAGAAUUUAGGCCACAUAGUUUAUGAAAUAAAAAAGGGAAAAGUGCUACGGAGUUAUUGUCGCUUUUGCUUCUGAUCUACUCACGUGGAUCAACUAUCUAUAAUAUAUUUUUAUAAUUUAUACUUGUAUGAACAAACUUUCUACAAAUUAAAAGUCACAAAUUUAAAUUUUUGAGCGCUGACAUAUUAGAUCCACUGGAAUAAAAUGAGAUUGAUAAGGCAGUUGUCGAGGAUCGACAUACAACAAUGCUGGCAACAUGUCUUGUAAAUAUUCUAGAUUACAAGCGCGUUUAAAGAAGCAUAAUCAACUAGUUUUUUAUAUCCCAUGUGCUGGACAUUUAUUAAACAAAGUUAGUCAGCGCAGUGUGAGUAGUUGCAUCAAUUUUAUCAACUAUUUUGGUAUUUUGGGGAAUUUUUAGACUCAUUUUUUGUAGUUUCUACACACAGAUGGAACUUAUUUAAAGAAAAAGCAUGAAUAAUUUGAAUAAAGCCAUUCUUUAACAUUUUUAUCACAAAAAAAAAUACUUUAGUUUUUUUAGCGCUAUGUUUUGGAUCAUUAUCUUGUUGAAACACAAAGUUGUUUCCUAAUCUAAGUUUUUUUAGCAGAAGAUUUUAAUUUUCGGUUCAAUAUAUUGUUAUACAAACUAGCAUUUUUAGUUACAUCAAAAAGUUCUAACUUACUAACUCCUUUCCGUGCCAUAAUACAUAAUACAUUACGUGGAAGCGUAAUGUUAUGGGGUUAUCCAACCCCAUAACAUUACGCUUCCACUCAUUUGAUGUUUAACUGUUCCACUCAUGUUCCAAUCAAAUAAAUGCAACUGUUCCAAUCAAAUAAAUGCAAAUUAAAUGCUUUUUCCGUCUUUCUUUAAAAGUUUUGUGUUUCGUUUUUUUUUUUUUUUUUUUCAUUUGGCGCUUUAUUAAAAAUAAUUUUUUACGCGCUCUUGAUUCACCGGUGGAUCAAGAUAAACUAAUAGAGCGAAUGUGAUUUUUAACUAAUGUUAGAAGAACGUUUGUGUUUUCAUUAUGUGUUUAUAAUUGUGUUUGUGAACUAAUGUCAAUAGAACUAAUUUUCUGUUAAUUUUUUCAUAUGGUUUUCUAUAUUUUUUGCGCUUUAAAUAUGAUUUUUUUAAAUCAUUCAUAAAACUCCAUUCUUUUAUAAAAUCAAACCUUUAUUUCAAUCAUCUCUUUUCUUGUCAUAUUUUGUCCGCAUCCUGUGCGAAUUUCAAUGUUUUAUGUUAUUUGUAGUUCUUUACAAUUCUAAUCAGUAACAAAUUUUUGAGUAGCAUUGAAAUAUUUAACUUUGCGUGUCAUUGAAGUUGUCAAGAGGGGGUCAAGAGGCAUAUUGUCCUGGUUAUGUUCAGGCUGCAAGCUCUAAACCAAGUUAUAAACUUUUUCAGAAAAAAACUUUUUGUUAGUUCAGCGUGAACAUUUAGCUAAAAAGUUCACGUCAGCAUAAACUUUUAGUUUAAAUUAUUUUAAAUAAAAUUAUUAUUUUAAAAUAUCAUCAAAAAAGUAACUAUUGUAGAAGUUACUUUGACCACGUUGGGAAGCAUUUAUGAUUUUUGUAUUAAUUGAGUACUUUAGAUCACUUCGAUAACGUGCAAUACUUUACCAAAAAAGUCAAUAGGCUAGGUGAGUUAAAAUAAGCAAUCGCUUUUACUCAGCGUUUUUGGAGUAAUUGCUCAAUAUAAAUUAGAGCAAUUUUGCUCAAAGUUUAAUUCCAGUAAAGCUAAGCAACCACUCGGCGUUUUUGGAAUAAAUUGCUCAGAUAUACGUGGAUAAAAAUUUAAACAAUUUUGCUUAAGUUUUUGUUCACGUAAAGCUGAGUAAUUAUUCCAAAAACGCUUUUAAUUUAACCAGCUUAAUAAAUAUUUAGUUCUAGCUUAAUCAGUUGAAUUGGCAUAUGUGCAAAUUGACAUAAGUGCGCCAAAAGAAUUUGCAAGCAUUGACAUAAGUGCAAACUGGCAUAAGUGUAAACUGGAAUAAGUGCGAAUUAAUAGAAGCAGUUGCAAAAACUUACAAAUCAGUUUAAGUACAAACUGGCAUAAGUGCAAACUGGCAUAAGUAUGAACUGGCAUAAAUGUGAGUUGUCAUGAGUGCGCUGAAUAAAAUUGCAAAUAUUAACGUGGUGCUAAACAUAAGUGCUAAAUUAGUACUUAUUCUAAUUAACACUUAUGCCAAUUUGCAUUUAUUCCGAUUUGCACUCAUGCCAGUUUUUGCAAAUGAUUCGGAAUUAUGCUAGUUUGCACUUAUGCAAGUUUGCACUUACACCAUUUCGCACUUAUAAAAAUGGAGUUGCUUUUCCACCUGAUUGGCUUGUUUGAAGCAAAAUAAAACAUUAUUUUGUUUUUCUUGCCGCCUUUUUAGUAAACUCCCAACAGCAAGUUAGUCAUGUUUAACCACAGUUAGUCAUGUUUAACCUACUAUAUAGCAAUCAAUUUGGCUUUAAAAAGCACAACUCCACGGAACAAGCAAACAUUCAAUUUGUACGCGAAAUUUCAAAAUCCUUUGAAAAUUCCCAAUACACACUAGGUAUCUUUAUUGACCUAUCUAAGGCUUUUGAUACAGUAGAUCACACUAUAUUACUGCAUAAGCUUAAAUAUUUAGGUAUAAACAAAAAAACUUUAAGACGGUUUGAAAGCUACUUAUCAAACCGUAAACAAUUUGUUUCUUGUAAGGAUGAAUGCCAAAAAAAUUUAUUAGAUAUAUCUUGCGGUGUUCCUCAAGGCUCUAUAUUGGGACCCCUCUUAUUCUUGAUUUACAUUAAUGACUUAAAUAAAGCUUCAAGUCUACUUAGCAUUAUGUUCGCUGAUGAUGCUAACCUAUUCCUUUCUGAUACUGACAUCUCCAAACUGUUUUUAAUAUAAAUGACGAACUUAAAAAAAUAUCUAGCUGGUUCAAGUAUAACAAAUUAACUCUUAAUCCUAAUAAAACAAAAUGGAUUAUUUUCCACCCGUUUCAAAAAAAACGUUACCUACCCAUAAAUCUGCCUAAAAUAUUUAUUAACCAAAUUGAGAUUAAGAGGGACUCUGUCAUAAAGUUUUUAGGAGUCUAUCUUGAUGAGCAUAUUACAUGGAAACAGCAUAUUGAUCACGUAUGUACCAAGAUUUCUAAAAAUAUUGGAAUUUUAUAUAAAUCUAGAGAUUAUCUAAAUAAAAAAAGCUUGACCCAACUCUAUCAUUCGUUUCUGCAUAAUUAUAUAAAUUAUGCAAAUAUUGCUUGGAGAAGUGCUGGGAAGAAUAAGUUGAAACGUCUUUUUUCACGUCAGAAACACGCAAUUCGUAUUAUUAAUUUUUCCGAUCGUUUUACUCAUUCAAACCUUUAUUUAACGAAAUGAGAAUACUUAAUAUUUAUGAAGUGAAUUUAUAUAAUACUCUAUGUUUUGUAUAUAUGUGGAAAAAUAACUUACCUCCUGAAGUUUUUAAAAGAAUUUUUACUUUGAAACCAGACAAUAAAUAUGCACUGAGAAAUAAUAAUUUGCUAAAUCAAGUUUUAUGUCGAACCAAGUUUAAUCAGCUUUGUAUUGAUUAUCGUGCACCUAAUCUUUGGAAUAAAGUUAUUUUGCAAAAUUUUGAUCUACCUUCCUCUUUUUCUAUUUUCAAAACUAAGCUUAA